UUCUCGCGGAAGUUGAAGAAAGAAGAGGGGUCAGCCAAGUAUGGUGCAUGCGUCGACCGGGGCGCUUAUAAGAGCAAAUGCUUCGCAUACAGCGGUAUGUUAUUUCUCAAGGACCGGAAUAAGACUGCACCGACAGUAGACACCGAGGAUACACGCAAGCCCCAGACGGCCACGUCGGCCGAAAUGGUGACCAGGAACAGGAACAACAAAGUCAAGAACCAGAAAACGAUGUAAAAGUACAUCAUCAAAAUCAACGCUUCUCCAAAAUUUUGAGCCUCCAAAAAAGAAUAUUGCCUUUCCAAGGCGGAAAAAGAUGAAUACACCGAUAGUUGCUUGUCGUGCUGCUUCGGAGAUGAACGUACCUCUUUUGAACGCUUGAAGAGACAAGGAUUCUAAACGGACUUUUGUGGAAAAUGAGUUCAUCAACAGGAAGAAAGCUCUCAAGAGAUUUCAGGCACGUAGAGUGAUAAAUUUCCACAGGGUUGCAUUGAAUGCUUUUAACAGUUGUGAAACAGGGAGCCUCGUGUCGGCCUGCGUACAAGGGAGGAAGAGCGACAUGAAAGCGGCAACAAAAGCACUUGUAACGAAUAUCGUCUCUGCAAUAUCUAGCUUGCCAGGGGUUGGCAAUAUCUGACGAUGAUGACAAAGAAAGCAAUCUGCAACAGCUCUUUGAGCAAAUUACAUACUGGAGGUGAAGUCAUGGCUCCGCCGCACGAAAUUCGAGUGGAUUUCGCACGACAUUUUCAACGAAGAGUAGGAAAUAAUGGCUCAAGAUGUACUACGUUUCCUGACAGAUGAAA